GGCCACAUUAUUUGCGGUAUGUAUAUUGUUGUGUAACGGUAUAACUAACAAGCAAUAAAGGACAUUAUUGUUUGGCCACAAAAUUUAUCAUUAGAUGUUUGGUGGGGGAGGUGCGACAUUUCCCAAACGUGAUGCAACUCUCUUUACAGGUGCUGGCGGUGGCGAUAAUGCCGUCUUAAGGCUUGCAGACCAAGUAGUUUUCCUCAUGUUUAAGCUGUCUGCAUCUUCACAGUUCAGAUAGCCCAGCUUUCGGGAUCCGAUCCGACAAUCCGAUAUCCACCUCGAAUUCUCCAUCUCCCCUGCAGAACACACCAAUACAAAUAAAAUAAAUCAAACCAAACAUAUCCAAUAUAUUCACCCGACAACCCAAUUAUAGGGUAUUAGAAAUGUCGAGACUGUUUCGAAAUUAUUACGUUGAUGAAGUGAGGAGGCAGAAGUGCACCAGCUACAACAUGACGAUAAGAUGAUCAAUACGAGUACUACAAUGUUGAGCUUUGCAAGAAAGUUAACGAGCGGGGAAUAAGGCCUUUUUCUUGUACUGUGUUGAGAAUAUUUUAGGAAGUCGAAAACAAUGCAGAUAUAUAGAGAAGUAGAAGUUUGACUUUUUUGUUUCCAAUGUUAGUGUAAGAGUUGGCGAUCUGUUAUCUACGUUGCCAUGGACACGCACUAAAAUUUACAAGGUCAGUUGAUUUUGACUGGCUCUCUUUUUUAUAAUGAUAGCCACCAAUCAAAAUUCAUUAAAUUUAUACAGAGCAUGUACAUUUA
rnacentral:lncRNA from 1 species